rnacentral:rRNA from 1 species
AUGCCCUCCACGACGCGCGCCAGGCGGAGCAGCAGGGCGACGGGUUCCGGCGGUUCGUCAUCCCCAUCGCCUACCUCUACCACCCGCUCUUCCAGCGGCUGCUGGAGGCGGCCCGGGACACGUAUGGCUACGGCUCGGCCGGCCCGCUUUGGCUGCCCUGCUCCGUCGACGAGUUCCUCCGCCUGCGCGCUUGUCGACCGGGAGACGGCGCACUCGCACUCCUCCACUACAAGAAAUAUGUCAACUUGUGACCUUGACUAUUGGUCACUGAAAGGUCAUUGUUUUUCAUUUGCGACCUUUUUUUGA